rfam:Triticum aestivum genome assembly, contig: Triticum_aestivum_CS42_TGACv1_scaffold_543601_6DS
AAGGUACUCCCUUCGUCCGGAAUAUUUGUCAUCAAAAUGGAUAAAAGAGGAUGUAUCUAGACGUAUUUUAGUUCUAGAGACAUCCCAUUUUACCAAUUUUGAUGAUAAGUAUUUUCGGACGGAGGGAGUAUAAA